AGUGAUUCGAGAUGCUCCGGGAGAAAUUAAUCUAUCUUGUUUAAUAUUCUUUGCAGACUACUAUUAGGCUGAAUCAAAACCUGCCAGACUAAAGUUGAUUUUGCGUGAGAAAGAUGUUGAAAACUCUGAAUCAUCUUGGCAUUCUUCAAUGAGUAAUUGUUCCAUUUUUACGCAAAUAGUGUACACUAUGAAUGCUGUGAAUAAACAUAUAUUUAAAUAUA